UUCAAAGAUUAAGCCAUGCAUGUCUAAGUAUAAGCAAUUAUACCGUGAAACUGCGAAUGGCUCAUUAAAUCAGUUAUCGUUUAUUUGAUAGUACCUUACUACUUGGAUAACCGUGGUAAUUCUAGAGCUAAUACAUGCUGAAAACCCCAACUUCGGGAGGGGUGUAUUUAUUAGAUAAAAAACCAACGCCCUUCGGGGCUUCUUGGUGAUUCAUGAUAACUUUACGGAUCGCAUGGCCUUGCGCCGGCGACGGUUCAUUCAAAUUUCUGCCCUAUCAACUUUCGAUGGUAAGGUAUUGGCUUACCAUGGUUUCAACGGGUAACGGGGAAUUAGGGUUCGAUUCCGGAGAGGGAGCCUGAGAAACGGCUACCACAUCCAAGGAAGGCAGCAGGCGCGCAAAUUACCCAAUCCCGACACGGGGAGGUAGUGACAAUAAAUACUGAUACAGGGCUCUUUUGGGUCUUGUAAUUGGAAUGAGUACAAUUUAAACCUCUUAACGAGGAACAAUUGGAGGGCAAGUCUGGUGCCAGCAGCCGCGGUAAUUCCAGCUCCAAUAGCGUAUAUUAAAGUUGUUGCAGUUAAAAAGCUCGUAGUUGAAACUUGGGCCUGGCUGGCAGGUCCGCCUCACCGCGUGUACUUGUCCGGCCGGGCCUUCCUUCUGGAGAACCUCAUGCCCUUCACUGGGCGUGUUGGGGACCAGGACUUUUACUUUGAAAAAAUUAGAGUGUUCAAAGCAGGCCUUUGCUCGAAUACGUUAGCAUGGAAUAAUAGAAUAGGACGUGCGGUUCUAUUUUGUUGGUUUCUAGGACCGCCGUAAUGAUUAAUAGGGACAGUCGGGGGCAUCAGUAUUCAAUUGUCAGAGGUGAAAUUCUUGGAUUUAUUGAAGACUAACUACUGCGAAAGCAUUUGCCAAGGAUGUUUUCAUUAAUCAGUGAACGAAAGUUAGGGGAUCGAAGACGAUCAGAUACCGUCGUAGUCUUAACCGUAAACUAUGCCGACUAGGGAUCGGGCGAUGUUCUUUUUUUUGACUCGCUCGGCACCUUACGAGAAAUCAAAGUUUUUGGGUUCUGGGGGGAGUAUGGUCGCAAGGCUG
rnacentral:rRNA from 1 species